AAAAGCUAUCUCAACCGGAUGUUACAAUUAUCAAUUUUCUUGUCCAUAAAAUCCCAAAAGAAGAAAAUCUUCUAGUUUUCCUCAUUAACCGAAUGGCUUUUCUUCUACGACGGCCUUUAUCGCUCACAUCUCGACUCGACACAAGUCCCACCAAAGCAUCACUGUCCCAUGAAUUUACACCAACGAAAAAUUCAAUACAAUUACCCAAUUGGGUUCCUAAUCUUCAAUCGAAGUUUUUGAAAUUCUUGCUCUCUGGCUCCCUUGCUCUUGCUCUGUCAGUAUCUUUCUUCUAUAUCCCUUGAAGUUAGGUUAGCAAUUGGCAGAAGAAGAUAAAGAGAAUGUAUUGAACAUUUUAGGAGUUGGACUUGCUGAUGGAAAGGUUGGGGUUAACAAGCCAGAAUUGCUUCCUGAAGAGUUCACUUCUGUUAUUGAUUUUGCCGCUUCCUCUCACUGCCAGAUGGGCAGGUCUAAUAUUUGUUGUUUCAUUUGGAUGUUUUACAGCUUUUUAUGUGCUGAUUAUUUAUUUUGUCAAAUGUGAUUUUCAUUAUUUUUA